AGUGAACGCUGGCGGCAGGCCUAAUACAUGCAAGUCGAACGGCAGCACAGCAGAGCUUGCUCUGUGGGUGGCGAGUGGCGGACGGGUGAGGAAUACAUGGGAAUCUGCCCAGUCGUGGGGGAUAACGUAGGGAAACUUACGCUAAUACCGCAUGCGCCCUUCGGGGAAAGCCGGGGACCUUCGGGCCUGGCGCGAUUGGAUGAGCCCAUGUCGGAUUAGCUAGUUGGCGGGGUAAUGGCCCACCAAGGCGACGAUCCGUAGCUGGUCUGAGAGGAUGAUCAGCCACACUGGAACUGAGACACGGUCCAGACUCCUACGGGAGGCAGCAGUAGGGAAUAUUGGACAAUGGGCGCAAGCCUGAUCCAGCCAUGCCGCGUGAGUGAAGAAGGCCCUCGGGUUGUAAAGCUCUUUUGUCCGGAAAGAAAAGCGCCGGGUUAAUACCCUGGUGUCCUGACGGUACCGGAAGAAUAAGCACCGGCUAACUUCGUG
rnacentral:rRNA from 1 species